UGUAAGCGUAUACCAAAGUUGUUGCAGUUAAAACGCUCGUAGUCGGAAUUUGGCAGUUCCGGAUGUGUGCACGUCGUGUGCGCGCUUCGCGGGGAUUGCUUUUGUGGUCUUGCGUAGGAUGAGGCACUUUUAUUAGUGAACGUCCUCACGCAACCACUUUUUACUGUGAGAAAAUCAGAGUGCUCAAAGCAGGCAUUUGCCGUGAAUGUAUUAGCAUGGAAUAAUAGAAUAGGACUUGGUUCUAUUUUGUUGGUUUGUUGGGACUGAGUAAUGAUUAAGAGGGACAGUUGGGGGCAUUUGUAUUUCGGUGCUAGAGGUGAAAUUCUUAGAUUACCGGAAGACAAACUGCUGCGAAAGCGUCUGCCAAGGAUGUUUUCAUUGA
rnacentral:rRNA from 1 species